CAGUCGCCGCGGUAAUACGGAGGGAGCUAGCGUUGUUCGGAAUUACUGGGCGUAAAGCGCACGUAGGCGGUUAUUCAAGUCAGAGGUGAAAGCCCGGGGCUCAACUCCGGAACUGCCUUUGAAACUAGAUGACUGGAAUCUUGGAGAGGUCAGUGGAAUUCCGAGUGUAGAGGUGAAAUUCGAAGAUAUUCGGAAGAACACCAGUGGCGAAGGCGACUGACUGGACAAGUAUUGACGCUGAGGUGCGAAAGCGUGGGGAGCAAACAGGAUUAGAUACCCCUGUAGUCCCUGUCUCUAUACA
rnacentral:rRNA from 1 species